UUUAAAAAUCUAAAUUUUCUCUUUUUUUUAAAAAAAAUCAAAACAUUUCUCAAAAUCAAACUUUAAAAAAAAAACAUUUAUUUUAGAAAAAGGAAGGGAAAAAAUGGGAUUUUUGGGGCCCCUAGGGGCGGAGGACUGACGUUCUAGUGACGUCCCUUUCAUCAAAGUCCAAACCCAAUCCCUUAAGAUAUGUAUACGGCA
rnacentral:lncRNA from 1 species